AGUUCAAUUGCUGUGUUAUAUGGUAAGGGUAUGUUUACUUUUAUAAGAAACUUCCACACUGUGUUCCAAAGUGACUGUUCCAUUUUGCACCCCAACCAGCAAU
rnacentral:pre_miRNA from 1 species